rnacentral:rRNA from 1 species
CCUGAACGCUGGCGGCGUGGCUAAGACAUGCAAGUCGUACGGAUGUAGCAAUACAUCAGUGGCGAACGGGUGAGUAAUGAAUCGCUAAUGUACCCCGGACUCUGGGAUAGCUGCCCGAAAGGGCAGGUAAUACCAGAUGAUAUAUCUUUAUCGCAUGAUAGAGAUCUCAAAGGUCCGCCGGUCUGGGAGCAGGCGAUUUUGUAUCAGCUAGUUGGUGAGGUAACGGCUCACCAAGGCGAUGACGCAUAGCCGGACUGAGAGGUUGGCCGGCCACAUUGGGACUGAGACACUGCCCAGACUCCGUACGGGGGGCUNCAGUAACGAAUCUUCCGCAAUGCACGAAAGUGUGACGGAGCGACGCCGCGUGUGGGACGAA